rnacentral:rRNA from 1 species
AGCUCCAAUAGCGUAUACUAAAGUUGUUGCAGUUAAAAAGCUCGUAGUCGAAUUCGGACUUGCGUGCGCGAUUCGGCCUACAAUGGUCUUUGGCGCGCCAGGUUCAAUUUUGUCGUUGCGAGACCUCCGCCUUUGGCGUGGUGGCCCGCAAAGCGACAUUUUUUACUGUGAACAAAAUAGAGUGUUCAUGGCAGGCCUUGGAAAGGCUUAAAUACCUCAGCAUGGAAUAAUAGAAUAGGACUUCCGGUUCUAUUUUGUUGGUUUUUGGAGCCGAAGUAAUGAUUAAUAGGGAUAGUUGGGGGCACUCGUACUCCGUUGUCAGAGGUGAAAUUCUUGGAUUUACGGAAGACGAACAACUGCGAAAGCAUCUGCCAAGGAUGUUUUCAUUGAUCAAGAACGA